rnacentral:lncRNA from 1 species
UUCAGAUAUUAUUUUUGGACAAAAUAUUUAAAACAAUUAAGUUACGUAACGUAUAUUUUUUUUCAUUUGCAGGAAAUGCCGUCAAUGGUGUUGGCCAAACUGUUCAAAAUGGUGUAGCACCUGUUGUUAAUGGAGUCGCUAAUGGAAUCGACAGUAAGUUUUUAUACAUUUUAUACAGUUUUUAUCAUUUUUUUACAUAUCUCUUCGUAAUUGAAAAUAUUUUGAAACUAAUAGACUAUUACAGAUUUGGAAUCAAUGAUAUUCAAGAAUUUUUACUCUUACCUUAUCAAUUUGUAUUGUGUAAAUAAAAUAUUUUGUCCAUACAAUUUUUAGCACUUGGAUGUGGAAGUAAGUAAUACUCCUUCGCAUUUAAUUUAAAACUGCAUUUUUGAACAUUCUUCAUAAGGAAAUUUAUGAUUAAGUGGAAAUCUAUACCAAUUAAAAAUAUAGAGUAAGUUAUUUGUCAAUGAAAAUGUAAAAAUCUUAAUAAAAUCAAGAACUUAAAAUUGUUUUGAUUUUAAAAAUUGAAGCCAUAAAAAAGGCCAUGAAAAUUGCCUGGAAAAAAAUUGCAAUAUUUUAUUACUCUAAUUUUUACAUUAAAAAAAUCUGAAUUUCAUGGUCCACAGUAAUUGUAGCACAAAUGUUAAAGACAACAAUAUUUGGGUAAAAAUUCGUAUUUUUAGUAUGAAGUUAAAAUCGUUAUAAUAUCAAAGCGCAUGCUAAGUAUGGCAAUAACUUGCCAUAAGGAAAGUAAAACAAAGACAAAGUGA